UUUCUUUCAUUUUCAUUUUAUUUUUUUCAUCACUUAUAUUUAUUCUACUUAAAAUAUUUUCGAAACAUACCUUGUUUAUGUUUUCCCCUUUUAUUUUAUUCCACACUUUAUUUGUUUUAUUUUGACUAUUUUGCUUGACUUUUUCAUGCCUUUGUUAAUGGUGGUUAAUGAAGUCUAUUUGAUCAUGACUUUGGUUUCUGUGGUUGACAAAACCUUAAAUGCUUAAAAUAUAUCAAUAGAUCAUUCACGAUACUUUGAGGCAUUGAUAGGUUGUCUCUA
rnacentral:lncRNA from 1 species